GAGAACUCGUCCUAUUCAUUUCUUCUUUUCUAAUUUUCUACACUUGUGAUAAUAUCAACAAGUAGAAUUUGAUCUUUGGGUGUGACAUCCAGGCAAGACAAGCUUCCUUUCUGUUGAUGUAGAGUACGUAUGAGGAUGUACCACCAUUGGAAAUAUGAAACGCUAAUUCUUGAGAUGCAUUAAGCGGAGUAUAGUGUAAUGUAAGUUGUUCAAUUUGACGCAUAAACAACAUCUACAAUGGAUGUUUCAUACACAAUGGAACAUUUAAAAGUAAAAUAACAAGAAGUUUAGAUGGUAUCCCAACCAAUCUUAAAUUGCAAUUUGAUCGAUACAUCAAUUGCACACGUCUCUUAAAUCAUCUGCGGUGGAGCACCGACUAUGCUAUAAAGUGAAUCUCAGAGAACUACUAAAAGGAUGGAGCAAUUCGUGAAUGAAACAUAUAUCAUAAUCAAGGUUAAUAAGGACAUAAUUGGAGAUACUCCUGCAAAUUCAUCCAUCUUCAAGUUUAUCGGUUUAUUGGUUUGAGAAGGCUGAUGGAUUUUCAAGAGUAUUUCAAGGCUGCCUUCACUACAAAUAAAGAAGAGAGGGAAGCACGUUGGGUGGAAGCACGUUGAGAGUGAAAUAUAUGAAUAUUUUUAUGCGUUAAUAUUUUUUCAUUGUAACUACAACCACUAAAAUUUUAAAAUCAACUGGUUUAUUAUAAGGCAAAUUCUAU
rnacentral:lncRNA from 1 species